rnacentral:rRNA from 1 species
GUCUACACCAUGCCACCCUGAACACGCCUGAUCUCAUGUGAUCUCAGAAGCUAAGCAGGGUUGGGCCUGGUUAGUACUUGGAUGGGAGACCUCCUAAAAAUACUGGGUGCUGUAGGCA